UACGUAGGGCGCAAGCGUUGUCCGGAAUCAUUGGGCGUAAAGAGCUCGUAGGUGGUCUGUUACGUCUGCUGUGAAAUCCUAGGGCUUAACCCUGGGCCUGCAGUGGAUACGGGCAGACUAAAGGUAGGUAGGGGAGAAUGGAAUUCCCGGUGUAGCGGUGAAAUGCGCAGAUAUCGGGAGGAACACCGGUGGCGAAGGCGGUUCUCUGGGCCUUACCUGACACUGAGGAGCGAAAGCGUGGGGAGCGAACAGG
rnacentral:rRNA from 1 species